rnacentral:hammerhead_ribozyme from 1 species
ACUGCUGAAGAGUUCCAAACAGGACGAAACAGCUGUCUAUAGU